AGAGUUGGAUUGCGUGUUGCACGCGCUCCUUAAAGAGUAAGUGUGGUUGGCUUCAUCCUCCCGAAGUCUCGGCCUCUUUCCGCUUGGCUAUACAGAACGCUCCUUAUAUGGAUAUUUUUCGCCGAUCACUGAAGAAACUUACGUUCCUGCUCCGUGGGCGCCAAUAUCAUCCGAAUAAUGAGUAGCAGAUGAUCCAUUGCUGUACGGACGGAAGUUCUCUUCUUGUGUACCCAGCGACGCAGAAUUCCAGUUUAAUUCAGGUAAAGUGUAAAUUUAGUGAAAAUAUUUUUACCAGUAACGAACGACGAGGUAGGAUAUGGUAGAACUUGUUGAUCGGACAUCGCAAGACUCUUCUAGUCGUGAUGAGUUAGUUGUACAUCCUUUUUUAGGCGAAAUGUUUCAUUAACCAGCGGAUCUUACUGUCGACUGGACAACAAAUGAUAUACUUAUCGAUCGCUCCACUUGUUUUUAUCCGUUAAGGCAUAAUGGAGGAAGAGGGGAAGACGGAUCGUUAACAGGCGGAAGUGAUAUUUUUGUUUGCACCUGGCUUACCAGCAUGAAUCUCCCUCUUCUUUGAAACGUAUUCCCUCUUAAUUUCAUUUUCGUUUAUUUCGUUUCUGUGCGGUAAGAACCAUAAUGCAAUUGUUUUCUUUUGUUUGCCAUUGUUAAACACAUCUGAAUAAUACGCGGCACGAUCGUUAAGUACGAAAUGUUCUUAUUAACGACUGUUUUGCGUUUAAACAUUUGUUAAAUACAGAACUCUGUUCAUGCGGCAUUAA
rnacentral:lncRNA from 1 species